UACGUAGGGUGCGAGCGUUGUCCGGAAUUAUUGGGCGUAAAGAGCUCGUAGGCGGUUUGUCGCGUCUGCUGUGAAAACUCGGGGCUUAACCCCGGGCCUGCAGUGGGUACGGGCAGACUAGAGUGCGGUAGGGGAGACUGGAAUUCCUGGUGUAGCAGUGAAAUGCGCAGAUAUCAGGAGGAACACCGGUGGCGAAGGCGGGUCUCUGGGCCGUAACUGACGCUGAGGAGCGAAAGCAUGGGGAGCGAACAGG
rnacentral:rRNA from 1 species